AGCCUACGUGUUGAACGUCUGCAUUUGAUGAAUCAAUUAUAAAUUGCAGUAAACGCGAUGAAGAGUUAAGUUGGCGAUUUCAGAGAUGGUAAGAAUGAAGUUCCCAACUGCAAAAAUGUGGUGGCCUCCUAAGAGGUGACCCUUCAUUUUCUUCUCCAUUUGCUCUUUUGCUUAAUACAUGCAGGUUUUGUGAAUUUCGGGUUCUCCACGCUUACAACGUUUUUUUUUGUUUGUUUUUUUUGUUUUUUUUAGGCCUAGGAAACUUGAAAAUUUCGUUUAGUCUUAUAUGUUCAGGGCCUAGUUCAGGGCCAGACCCAUUGUUUAUGUCUUAAAGUGCAUUUAAAAAAAAUAUACUAAUGCUUCUAUACUUUGAAUAUUACCAUCUGAUGUACAAAUGUGAGUAAGCCCCCCUUCAGUAUAAGGUCUAAUUAGACGAGCACAUGGCUACAACAGAAAUGUAAAUAAGUUGGUCAAAGUGGGAACUGACUUUUGUGGCAUUUAAUGUAUGAAACUUGUUACUAAUGUUGCUUGUUUCUAACAGAUUUCAGAGAUGGUAAGAAUGAAGUUCCCAACUGCAAAAAUGUGGUGGCCUCCUAAGAGAUGUAAGAAGACAGAAGUCCCUUUGGUGGUAUACAUUUUGGAAUAUGAUCUCCGGCUUCUGCAUGGAUGCUAAUGUGCAAAUGUAACUUUGAAACUUUAAAUGGUGUUAGAGUUCUGAAUGAGUUGCUAUUUAGAUGUUUGGAUGAAUGUCUUUUUCAAUAAAAGUGUGAAACCGUAACUUGUGAUGUAUAGCUAUCAGGUCACUUAUUAUUUGACAUACUGGAGUGGUGCUACACUUCAUUAAUCAGUGUAAUUGUGGUGGUUUAACUUCAAUUGAUCAAUUGACUUGAUAUGCAAAAACAUGCUUAACCUUAGUUUGCUAGCAAAUGCUUGAACAUAUGGCAUACGUCCAGUAUUGAGUGUGGACCGCUGAGCUAAUAGACAAUGCCUUGUAUAAACCCACCA
rnacentral:lncRNA from 1 species